CACAAAUAGAACUCGGGUUAAAAAUAGCCUUUGUCUAAAUGUGGAAAGUGUGUAAAUAUAGUAGCGGUUUCAACUUACUACACAGGCUCACAAGCUCCAAGUAACAGACGCUUAUUAUAG
rnacentral:sRNA from 1 species